UUGAUCCUGGCUCAGAAUCAACGCUGGCGGCGCGCCUAACACAUGCAAGUCGAACGAGAAAGCCCGCAAGGGUGAGUACAGUGGCGUACGGGUGAGUAAUACGUGGAUAAUCUACCCUCUAGUGGGGAAUACCGCUGGGAAACCGGCGAUAAUACCGCAUAAGCUCGAGAGAGGAAAGCAGCAAUGCGCUGGAGGAGGAUUCCGCGGCUGAUUAGCUAGUUGGUGAGGUAAUGGCUCACCAAGGCUCAGUUCAGUAGCCGGCCUGAGAGGGCACACGGCCACACUGGCACUGAAACACGUGCCAGACUCCUACGGGAGGCAGCAGUGGGGAAUCUUGCACAAUGGGGGAUACCCUGAUGCAGCGACGCCGCGUGAGCGAUGAAGCCCUUCGGGGUGUAAUGCUCUUUCGGCAGGGAAGAUUAUGACGGUACCUGCAGAAGCAGCUGCGGUUAACUACGUGCCAGCAGCCGCGGUAAUU
rnacentral:rRNA from 1 species